rnacentral:rRNA from 1 species
UACAGAGGGUGCGAGCGUUAAUCGGAAUUACUGGGCGUAAAGGGUUCGUAGGUGGCCAACUAAGUCAUACGUGAAAUCCCUCAGCUUAACUGGGGAACUGCGUCUGAUACUGGUUGGCUUGAGUGCAGGAGAGGAACGCGGAAUUCCAGGUGUAGCGGUGAAAUGCGUAGAUAUCUGGAGGAACACCGGUGGCGAAGGCGGCGUUCUGGACUGCAACUGACACUGAGGAACGAAAGCCAGGGGAGCAAACGGG